AGGAAUUGGUUUUCCCUUUAGCGAACAAAGUUUAUCGUGUUCCCGUUUGUUCUUUGCUUCAAGGUUGCAGCAGGGAAUGGUUAAUAAUUAAUAUUUUAUUCUUAAGCUUUUGUGCAACAUUUUGAAUCACUUAAACCUAUUCCACAAGCAAGAUUAAUUCUUUGUUUAAAACUUUGAACACCAUAAAGGGGCAAUAUCAAUGUUAUCAGAAAACACAGAUUUUCUUUGCUUCAAAUUUUUUUCUAAAAACAAAAAUCAUGGAUUUCUCAGCCAUUUCAUCUGUUGUCCAGACUGUUGGGAGGUUGCUAACUCAGGAAGUCACAUCGUUGAUGGGCGUGAAGGACCAAGUUGAGGAUUUGCAAAAGGAGCUUGAAUGGAUACAAAGUUUCCUGAAGGAGGCAAACGCGAGGAAAGUUGAUAAUAAGGUGGUGCGCACCAGUAUUAAUGAAAUCAGAGAAUUGGCGUAUGAUGCCGAAGAUGUGAUCGAGACUUUUGCUCUCAAAGUUGCACCUAGAAGGAAAGGAGGUUUCUCUAAUGUCAUCAAAAGAUUUGCUUGCAUCCUUAACGAGGGAGGGUUGCUCUGCCAAACCAAGUGCGAGGUUCAGAAAAUCACAGCCAGAAUCACCCGAUUGACUCGCCGAUUACAAACCUAUGAUGUAAAACAGCCAAGGGAUGGAGCAGGUACAAGUUCUUCAAAUCAAAGGCGAGAAUUGAGGCGGCCUUAUCCUCAUAUUGUCGACGAUAACGUUGUUGGGUUGCAUGAUGAUAUCAAGAAGUUGGUGUCAAUUCUUGUUGAUGAUGAAAGCGAUUGCAAGGUUGUUUCCAUAUGGGGAAUGUGUGGUCUUGGCAAGACCACUCUUGCCAAGAGACUAUACUGACAUAGCCAUGUUAU
rnacentral:lncRNA from 1 species